rnacentral:rRNA from 1 species
AGAGUGAACGCUGGCGGUAGGCCUAACACAUGCAAGUCGAACGGCAGCACAGUGGUAGCAAUACCAUGGGUGGCGAGUGGCGGACGGGUGAGGAAUACAUCGGAAUCUACCUUUUCGUGGGGGAUAACGUAGGGAAACUUACGCUAAUACCGCGUACGCCCUUCGGGGGAAAGCCGGGGAUCGCAAGACCUGGCGCGGAUAGAUGAGCCGAUGUCGGAUUAGCUAGUUGGUGAGGUAAUGGCUCACCAAGGCGACGAUCCGUAGCUGGUCUGAGAGGAUGAUCAGCCACACUGGAACUGAGACACGGUCCAGACUCCUACGGGAGGCAGCAGUGGGGAAUAUUGGACAAGUGGGCGCAAGCCUGAUCCAGCCAUACCGCGUGGGUGAAGAAGGCCUUCGGUUAGUAACGUCCCUUUGGUUAGGAAAGAAAGACAAGUCGGUUAAGUACCCGGUCGUUCGUGACCGUACCAAAGAAUAAGACACCGGACUAAC